UCGCCCUUAGAGUUGAUCCUGGCUCAGAACGAAGCGUCGAGCGGCGUGGUUAAGACAUGCAAGUCGAACGAGAAGCCUCACUUCGGGAGGUGGACAGUGGCGCACGGGUGAGUAACACGUGAGCAAUCUGCCCGGAAGCCCGGAAUAGCCCUCCGAAAGGAGGAUUAAUGCCGGAUGUGGCCAACCCGCGAUUGCGGGUGACGCUAAAGAUUUAUCGCUUCUGAGAGGAGCUCGCGGCCCAUCAGCUAGUUGGUGAGGGUAACGGCCCACCAAGGCGGUGACGGGUAGCUGGUCUGAGAGGAUGGUCAGCCACACUGGAACUGAGACACGGUCCAGACACCUACGGGUGGCAGCAGUCGAGAAUCAUUCGCAAUGGGGGCAACCCUGACGAUGCGACGCCGCGUGAAGGAUGAAGGCCUUCGGGUUGUAAACUUCUGUCAAGAGGGAAUAAGCAAGUGAAGGUACCUCUAGAGGAAGGGGCGGCUAAUUCCGUGCCAGCAGCCGCGGUAACACGGAAGCCCCGAGCGUUGUUCGGAUUUAUUGGGCGUAAAGGGUGCGUAGGCGGCGCGGAAAGUCUGGUGUGAAAGGCAGGGGCUCAACCCCUGGACUGCACUGGAUACUCCCGUGCUUGAGGACUGGAGGGGAGACUGGAAUUCACGGUGUAGCAGUGAAAUGCGUAGAUAUCGUGAGGAAGACCGGUGGCGAAGGCGAGUCUCUGGACAGUUCCUGACGCUGAGGCACGAAGGCUGGGGUAGCGAACAGGAUUAGAUACCCUGGUAGUCCCAGCAGUAAACGACGUGAGCUUGAUGUGGGGGGAUUCGAACCCUUCCGUGUCGAAGUUAACGCGAUAAGCUCACCGCCUGAGGAGUACGAUCGCAAGAUUAAACUCACAGAAUCGACGGGGACCGCACAACGGGGAGUAUGUGGCUUAAU
rnacentral:rRNA from 1 species